rnacentral:rRNA from 1 species
CAUGAACGCUAGCGGCAGGCUUAAUACAUGCAAGUCGUGGGGCAGCAGGUCUGUAGCAAUACAGAUGCUGGCGACCGGCAAACGGGUGCGUAACACGUACGCAACCUUCCCGUUACUGGGGAAUAGCCCAGGGAAACUUGGAUUAAUACCCCAUAUUAUAUUGGUUAGGCAUCUGACUGAUAUCAAAGCUUCGGCGGUAACGGAUGGGCGUGCGGUUGAUUAGGUAGUUGGCGGGGUAACGGCCCACCAAGCCUACGAUCAAUAGCUGAUGUGAGAGCAUGAUCAGCCACACUGGGACUGAGACACGGCCCAGACUCCUACGGGAGGCAGCAGUGGGGAAUUUUGGACAGUGGGCGCAAGCCUGAUCCAGCCAUGCCGCGUGAGUGAAGAAGGCCUUCGGGUUGUAAAGCUCUUUCGGCCGGGAAGAAAUCGCAUUCUCUAACAUAGGAUGUGGAUGACGGUACCGGACUAAGAAGCACCGGCUAACUACGUGCCAGCCGCCGCCGUAAGAC